rnacentral:piRNA from 1 species
UUCAAGUAAAUGUGCCACCUCCUUACCUC